rnacentral:rRNA from 1 species
UACGUAGGGUGCAAGCGUUGUCCGGAAUUAUUGGGCGUAAAGAGCUCGUAGGCGGUCUGUCACGUCGGAUGUGAAAACUCGGGGGCUCAACCCCGAGCCUGCAUACGAUACGGGCAGACUUGAGUUCGGCAGGGGAGACUGGAAUUCCUGGUGUAGCGGUGAAAUGCGUAGAUAUCUGGAGGAACACCGGUGGCGAAGGCGGCAUCCUGGACCGAGAUUGACGCUGAUGCGCGAAAGCCAGGGGAGCAAACGGG